UUGUGGAGGAGGACGCCGAAGGUGGGGCUAAUGACUGGGGUGAAGUCGUAACAAGGUAGCCGUACCGGAAGGUGCGGCUGGAUCACCUCCUAACAGGGAGACAACAAAAUGUUUAAUAUUAUUAUUUUGUCACCUUAGGUCGAUCGGUAUCUCACGUUCUUAAUUUAUUAAGAAUUUCAUUUCCUAAGUUUUUCUAGGUCACACGCAUUAUUUUUCCUGGGCCAUUAGCUCAGGUGGUUAGAGCGCACCCCUGAUAAGGGUGAGGUCCCUGGUUCAAGUCCAGGAUGGCCCAUAUCUCUAUGUUGGGGGUAUAGCUCAGUUGGUAGAGCGCCUGCUUUGCAAGCAGGAUGUCAGCGGUUCGAGUCCGCUUACCUCCACUGAUUACCACCUCUUCCAUAAUUUGAAGAAAGGAAAUUUUUUGAGUUGUGAUCAAAUUCUGAACGAAUCUAGCUUCCUAAUGAAUCUAUUAAGAUGCUGGACUCAUUGAAUUAAUUUUCAUUGUUUUCAGAGAACCUUGACAACUGCAUAGAUUAUUUUUAAAGACAAUAAGCAUCUUUAAUGAUGCAGAUUUAUUAUUUGUGCGAAUGCAUUAAUAACAAUUCUAUUAAGCUGAUGCUUCAAUUUAAGAAGUUAUUGGUCAAGCUACAA
rnacentral:misc_RNA from 1 species